AUACUACCUUGGGUCUUCAGAGUUUUUUCAGAUUAAAUGAUAACAUAUUCUUGGCACUCAGAACACAAAAAUGAGUAACAGCCUCUGUUUUUAGGCAGCUUUCAUUCUAACAUAUGUGAUGAACAUCAAGAUAAACAAGAUGAAAAGAAAAAAGAAACGGAAAUUAAGAGAAUUUUGCAGACCAAAAGGACUAUGACUGUAGCUGAACAGAUACUACAGCACAGGAAAAAAAGAAGGGACAAGCUUGAAAUAAAAUACAUUAUGAAAACAAGGCUGCUUCCAAGGCACCCUCCCCUUUCUACCCUAUGUCUUCUGGCUGUACCUCCUCAGGACCUCAUGGAGUUGGUGUUCUCAAGAUAACCGAAGCAGGGUCAUUUUGAAGUUGAAUGUACAUGAAAACUGCUAAGCAAAUGCCUCUAAAAAUGUUAAUGCUUUGUCCA